UACGUAGGGUGCAAGCGUUGUCCGGAAUUAUUGGGCGUAAAGAGCUCGUAGGCGGUUGUCGCGUCUCGCUGUGAAAACUCAGGGCUUAACCCUGAGCUUGCAGUGGGUACGGGCAGACUAGAGUGCGGUAGGGGAGACUGGAAUUCCGUGGUGAUAGCGGUGAAAUGCGCAGAUAUCGAGGAGGAACACCGGUGGCGAAGCGGGUCUCUGGGCCGAACUGACGCUGGAGGAGCGAAAGCCUGGGGAGCA
rnacentral:rRNA from 1 species